GCGCGCGGAGGGAGGGCCGGCCGCGGAGAGGGGCCAAAACUCUUCGGAAUCAGCAGCCAGAGAGGCUCUGAGGGCGCCCGCGGGGCGGAGGGGAGCGGGGCAGAGGGCCGCCGGGGCGAGGGCCGAGGAGGGGUCCGAGACGCGCCAAGGGGCUGGUAGCUAGGCGACCUGAAUGUCUUCCAUACCUGAACCCGCAGCCUGAAGAAGCUGAUAGCGGACCCCGAGCGCGCGCGCGCCUUGGCGGGAGCCCUGCGCCUCCCGGGGUCUCCCUGCUCCUUACUUGGACCUCGGGCGCAAGGUCCCCUCCGCGCAGAGCUGAAGCCGCGGCGGGCGGCCCACGGGGGAUCAGACCCUCGGGCAUCCGCGUUUCCCCUCCGCCGUCCGCCGGACCCCCACCUCUUCUCCAAGCUCCACUCCCGACUUUUCUUCCCCGCCCCCGGGAAGCUCUGGAAACCCGCACCCCCGGCUCUGAGGUCAGGGCUGGCAGGAGUAAUCCACCCUUUCCAGGUGUGUGGCGCAAACACGGACGCAAAGAUCUCCCCUAGGGUCUGUAACAAUUUCCAGGCUGAAAGGUGAUAACUCCUUCUCCUUCCAUAACAUACCUUCCCCCCGCCCCCACUUCCUUUACUAUCCUAACUUUGGGAGGAAUAUUGAUUCUUGAUCAAAGUAAAUGCACUGUCUUACCUUUGGUAUCGGCA
rnacentral:lncRNA from 1 species